rnacentral:tRNA from 1 species
GCCUCGGUAGUGUAAUGAAUUAGCACGGCAGACCGGAUAUCUGUAAGUGCGGGUUCGAGCCCCGCAUGAGAGCU